CACGUAGGGUGCGAGCGUUGUCCGGAAUUAUUGGGCGUAAAGAGCUCGGUAGGCGGUGUGUCGCGUCGGCCGUGAAAACCUGCAGCUUAACUGUGGGCGUGCGGUCGAUACGGGCAUCACUGGAGUUCGGCAGGGGAGACUGGAAAUUCCUGGUGUAGCGGUGAAAUGCGCAGAUAUCAGGAGGAACACCGGUGGCGAAGGCGGGUCUCUGGGCCGAUACUGACGUGGAGGAGCGAAAGCGUGGGGAGCAAACAGG
rnacentral:rRNA from 1 species